rnacentral:rRNA from 1 species
AAAAAGCUUGAAAAGAGAGUUAAACAGUACGUGAAAUUGCUGAAAGGGAAACGCUUGAAGUCAGUCGCGUCGUCCGGAACUCAGCCUUGCUUUCGCUUGGUGCACUUUCCGGAUGACGGGUCAGCAUCGAUUUUGACCGUCGGAAAAGGGCUAGAGUAAUGUGGCACCUCCGGGUGUGUUAUAGACUCUGGUCGCAUACGGCGGUUGGGAUCGAGGAACGCAGCGCGCCGCAAGGCAGGGGUUCGCCCACUUUCGCGCUUAGGAUGCUGGCAUAAUGGCUUUAAACGACCCGUCUUGAAACACGGACCAAGGAGUCUAACAUACCUGCGAGUGUUUGGGUGGAAAACCCGAGCGCGUAAUGAAAGUGAAAGUUGAGAUCCCUGUCGUGGGGAGCACCGACGCCCGGACCUGACGUUCUCUGACGGAUCCGCGGUAGAGCAUGUAUGUUGGGACCCGAAAGAUGGUGAACUAUGCCUGAAUAGGGUGAAGCCAGAGGAAACUCUGGUGGAGGCUCGUAGCGAUUCUGACGUGCAAAUCGAUCGUCAAAUUUGGGUAUAGGGGCGAAAGACUAAUCGAACCAUCCAGGGUCGAAC